GGAGAAAAGCAGGGGAUCGAAAGACCUUAUGCUUUUGGAGCGGCCGAUGUCUGAUUAGCUAGUUGGUAAGGUAAUGGCUUACCAAGGCAACGAUCAGUAGUUGGUCUGAGAGGACGACCAGCCACACUGGGACUGAGACACGGCCCAGACUCCUACGGGAGGCAGCAGUGGGGAAUUUUGGACAAUGGGCGCAAGCCUGAUCCAGCAAUGCCGCGUGAGUGAAGAAGGCCUUCGGGUUGUAAAGCUCUUUCAGUUGAGAAGAAAAGAUUGUGACUAAUAAUUGCAAUUCAUGACGGUAUCAACAGAAGAAGCACCGGCUAACUACGUGCCAGCAGCCGCGGUAAUACGUAGGGUGCGAGCGUUAAUCGGAAUUACUGGGCGUAAAGGGUGCGCAGGCGGUUCUGUAAGUCAGAUGUGAAAUCCCCGGGCUUAACCUGGGAACUGCGUUUGAAAC
rnacentral:rRNA from 1 species